GUUGUCCAUUCUCCCACUAGCAAUUCAUUCCUAGUGUUGUGUCAUAGCUUAUCACUGCCCCAGCAGUACCGUUGCAGAUGCUUCAAAAGCCAUAUUGUAAACUGGAUCACUGAAGUGGAGUUAAAAAAGAAGGUUAAGGAAAAAGUUCAGAUCACUGAUCUAGUUUAUAGGCCCACUGAGAGAUGCAUCAGCAUGGCUGAAGGGAUUAAACUCAGGCAAUGAGACAGGAGUCUUUCAAAUUGACUUGGCUGAUGGAGAAAAUGUAAGAGGGAACUAUUCCUGCACCCCAAGACUAAGGAGGAGGGGAGGAGCCAUACCUGGCAUACUCUAGCAUUUAAAACAGUUAUUCUACUUUUCACCUCUCCCCAACCCUCCACCCACACAGCCUCGUGUGAACAACCUGCUGAACUCCUGCUCCCUCAUUGUGGUUCUUCUUUCAGUGUCAGUAAAAGAGGAGCACAUUUUUACUUUCUUAAGACUAAUGACAAGAUCUGCAGCUGAAAAGUGUUUACGUACAACAUCUCUGCUCGUUUGGGAUACCAUUUGGAGGCAUAAAUCUCUACCCACUGGUUAUGUAGCAUAGUCUCAGGCUGGGCCAUGUUUUCACAGAACCAGGAAUUCAGUACCAGGGUAACUGCAAUAUUUGGAAAAAGGACUAAGUUCAAGGAAUACAUAAAGGUGAUAAGUAUUUAACUACUUCACUUCAGGUUUUUUUUUUCCAUUGUUUUA
rnacentral:lncRNA from 14 species